AGAUUGAACAUAAGAGUUUGAUCCUGGCUCAGAUUGAACGCUGGCGGCAUGCUUUACACAUGCAAGUCGGACGGCAGCACAGAGAAGCUUGCUUCUCGGGUGGCGAGUGGCGAACGGGUGAGUAACAUAUCGGAACGUACCGAGUAGUGGGGGAUAACUGAUCGAAAGAUCAGCUAAUACCGCAUACGCCUUGAGAGAGAAAGCAGGGGACCUUCGGGUCUUGCGCUAUUCGAGCGGCCGAUAUCUGAUUAGCUAGUUGGUGGGGUAAAGGCUCACCAAGGGCGACGAUCAGUAGCGGGUCUGAGAGGAUGAUCCGCCACACUGGGACUGAGACACGGCCCAGACUCCUACGGGAGGCAGCAGUGGGGAAUUUUGGACAAUGGGCGCAAGCCUGAUCCAGCCAUGCCGCGUGUCUGAAGAAGGCCUUCGGGUUGUAAAGGACUUUUGUCAGGGAAGAAAAGGCUGUUGCUAAUACCAGCGGCUGAUGACGGUACCUGAAGAAUAAGCACCGGCUAACUACGUGCCAGCAGCCGCGGUAAUACGUAGGGUGCGAGCGUUAAUCGGAAUUACUGGGCGUAAAGCGGGCGCAGACGGUUACUUAAGCAGGAUGUGAAAUCCCCGGGCUCAACCCGGGAACUGCGUUCUGAACUGGGUGACUCGAGUGUGUCAGAGGGAGGUAGAAUUCCACGUGUAGCAGUGAAAUGCGUAGAGAUGUGGAGGAAUACCGAUGGCGAAGGCAGCCUCCUGGGAUAACACUGACGUUCAUGCCCG
rnacentral:rRNA from 1 species